rnacentral:rRNA from 1 species
AGAUUGAACGCUGGCGGCAUGCCUUACACAUGCAAGUCGAACGGCAGCACGGGAGCAAUCCUGGUGGCGAGUGGCGAACGGGUGAGUAAUACAUCGGAACGUGCCCAAUCGUGGGGGAUAACGCAGCGAAAGCUGUGCUAAUACCGCAUAAGAUCUACGGAUGAAAGCAGGGGAUCGCAAGACCUUGCGCGAAUGGAGCGGCCGAUGGCAGAUUAGGUAGUUGGUAGAGGUAAAGGCUCACCAAGCCUUCGAUCUGUAGCUGGUCUGAGAGGACGACCAGCCACACGUGGGACUGGAGACACCGGCCAGACUCCGACGGGAGCAGCGAGGUAGGGUAA